CCCAGGACGCGUUGCGCGGCCCGGGCCGGAAGUCGCCCGGUUCCCGGGUGUCUGUCUGGGUCUGUGUCUGGAAGCGGCGCGCGGCCCGGGACAGGCAGUGGGAUUCACAUCUGAAGCGUCACCUGUAUCACUACCAUCUCCCACGGAGCCACUACUAGAGGGGAGUAGACCCGGCCCUUCGCCGGGCAGAGAAGAUGUUGCCUCUGUCCAUCAAGGACGAUGAAUACAAACCACCCAAGUUCAAUCUGUUCCGCAAGAUCUCAGGCUGGUUUAGGUCUAUCCUGUCGGACAAGACGUCUCGGAACCUGUUUUUCUUCCUGUGCCUGAACCUCUCUUUCGCUUUUGUUGAACUGCUCUACGGCAUCUGGAGCAACUGCUUAGGUUUGAUUUCCGACUCUUUUCACAUGUUUUUCGAUAGCACUGCCAUUUUGGCUGGAUUGGCAGCAUCUGUUAUUUCAAAAUGGAGAGAUAAUGAUGCUUUCUCUUAUGGGUAUGUUAGAGCGGAGGUUCUGGCUGGUUUUGUCAAUGGCCUGUUUUUGAUCUUCACUGCUUUUUUUAUUUUCUCAGAAGGAGUUGAGAGAGCAUUAGCCCCUCCAGAUGUACAUCAUGAGAGACUGCUUCUUGUUUCAAUUCUUGGGUUUGUGGUAAACCUAGUAGGAAUAUUUGUUUUCAAGCAUGGAGGUCAUGGACAUUCUCAUGGCUCUGGCCAUGGACACAGUCAUUCUCUCUUUAAUGGUGCUCUGGAUCAGACACAUGGCCAUGGAGAUCACUGCCAUAGUCAUGAAUUGAAACAUGGUGCUGCACAUAGCCAUGAUCAUGCUCAUGGACAUGGACACUUUCACUCUCAUGAUGGCCCCUCCUUAAAAGAAACAACAGGACCCAGUAGACAGAUUUUACAAGGUGUAUUUUUACACAUUCUAGCAGAUACACUAGGGAGUAUUGGUGUAAUUGCCUCUGCCAUCAUGAUGCAGAAUUUUGGUCUGAUGAUAGCAGAUCCUAUUUGUUCAAUCCUGAUAGCUAUGCUCAUAGUUAUAAGCGUUAUUCCUCUCUUAAGAGAGUCUGUUGGAAUAUUAAUGCAGAGAACUCCUCCGCUUUUGGAAAAUACUUUACCUCAAUGCUAUCAGAGGGUGCAGCAGUUGCAAGGAGUUUACAGUUUACAGGAACAGCAUUUCUGGACCUUAUGUUCUGAUGUUUAUGUUGGGACCUUGAAAUUAGUAGUAGCGCCUGAUGCUGAUGCCAGGUGGAUUUUAAGCCAAACGCAUAACAUUUUUACUCAGAGCAGCUCCUGCCUCUUUGGGCAUUCAUAGUGUUGGGCAGAGCCCUCCAACUUGAAUGCUAGAGGGAAAGAAAGCCAUGCUAGAAGCAAUGCUUUGAGGAGCCCAGAAAUUCCUAUGAAAAGGCCGGAGUGAGACAGCUUUAUGUACAGAUUGACUUUGCGGCCAUGUAAUGAGUGAAAAGAAACCAUGCUUUUUGGGGGGACCUAAUUUUUCUGGUACUGUACAAUCCUAAACAUUGUACCUAGCUUUCUAAAAAGAGAAAUCAUCACUACACCUCCCCAGCACCAAGUAGACCAGGUAGAGUCCACCGUUUGUGCUCUGCCGGGAGUUUACAGCUAAGGGGUCAGAAGUAAGAGGAUCUCUCCUGGACUUCUGGUCUUGUCUUUGUGCUCUUCUCACCAAACCAUUUUGAUUUCUGAGGUUUCUAGUUUUGUUCCAGGGUAUUGUUUUCUCGGUAUUGUUGUUUCCUUUUUUUUUUCAUUUCAAAUGCCCUCACUCCCACCCCUCAUCCUAGCCAGUAAGAAAUUCAGACUGUGGGUCUCUAAUCAUCUGGAAUGUCUUCACUGAAGCUGCUGGAAGCCACUGCUUUCAUUCCCACAAAACCAGUGUUAUUUUAAAAAAGAAAAAAGAAAUAAGAAAUGGAAAUCUGUUUUAUAUGUAAUGUCACAGUUGUUGACGUUUUUCAAUAUAAUCAUAUGUUUGUGAAAUUGUUUGUACCUUGCAAACUUAUGAACCAAACCAUAUUGGGUUUUCAAAGUGCCUUUGUAUCAGAAAAUGUAUUUGCCAGCAUAGAAAUGUUCCAUCAAAGGUCAUGUAUAUGUUUGUUUUUUUUUUUAACGGGUAUUCUGUACAAAAUAAGACUCUUGUUAGUAACAUAUAUAGAUGUCUUUUUGUGUACUUCAAGCAUAGAUUUAGAUACAGAAAAAUUUGCCUUUUAUUGCUCUCUCAUCAAAAAAUAAAAGGUGUUAUUUUGCUUUUUAAAUCAAAUUUGGUUAUUAUAUUAAAUUAUUUUAUGGACUGUGUUUUCAGAACUUUGCAGAUGCUUCUGUUAUACAGACAGGUGUUUUGAAUUAUCACAUCUGCUAAAUUUCAAAUUUCUAAAAAGCUACUGUGUCUAUGAUAAACUUUCCUGUAUCUCUCUGCUGUUUUUAAAGAUUCUCUUAAUGAAAGGGAAAAGCAUGUAGAGUGAAAGCAGAAAAGGUUGUGACAGUGUUGAUUUGCUUUUUUGUUCUUCAAAUGCCAAGUCCUAUAAUUUGUUUUCCUAUGCAAGCACUGCAAAAAUACAGUUGCUUUCAGGAAUCCUAAAGUUGCAUUUUACUGAGUUUGAAGUAUUGAAGGUAUGGAGUAGAUGUGGUAAUAUAAAACUCCUAACACAAGUAUCUUGGAAGUUCAUAAAUAAGUUGAUUUCUAGGUUCUUGUUUAUUUGAAAAAUAAAAUUGCAAUUUGAGAUAA